rnacentral:rRNA from 1 species
UACGGGGGGGGUAAGCGUUGUUCGGGAAUUACUGGGCGUAAAGGGCUCGUAGGCGGCCAACUAAGUCGGACGUGAAAUCCCUCAGCUUAACUGGGGAACUGCGUCCGAUACUGGAUGGCUUGGAUUUGGGAGAGGGAUGCGGAAUUCCAGGUGUAGCGGUGAAAUGCGUAGAUAUCUGGAGGAACACCGGUGGCGAAGGCGGCAUCCUGGACCAAUAUUGACGCUGAGGAGCGAAAGCCAGGGGGAGCAAACGGG